rnacentral:rRNA from 1 species
GAUAGGUAGAGUAUACCAAGGCGCUUGAGAGAACUAUGUUGAAGGAACUCGGCAAAAUACCUCCGUAAGUUCGCGAGAAGGAGGCCCGGUUUCUAGGCAACUGGAAGCUGGGGGCACAAACCAGGGGGUGGCGACUGUUUACUAAAAACACAGGGCUCUGCGAAGUCGCAAGACGACGUAUAGGGUCUGACGCCUGCCCGGUGCCUGAAGGUUAAAAGGAGGGGUGAGAGCUCCGAAUUGAAGCCCAGGUAAACGGCGGCCGUAACUAUAACGGUCCUAAGGUAGCGAAAUUCCUUGUCGGGUAAGUUCCGACCUGCACGAAUGGCGUAACGACUUCCCCGCUGUCUCCAACAUAGACUCAGUGAAAUUGAAUUGCCUGUCAAGAUGCAGGCUUCCCGCGGUUAGACGGAAAGACCCCGUGCACCUUUACUACAACUUUACACUGAUAACAGGCACAACAUGUGCAGAAUAGGUGGUAGGCUUUGAAGCAGAAACGCCAGUUUUUGUGGAGCCUCCUUUGAGAUACCACCCUUGUUUUGCUUGUUAUCUAACUGCGGUCCGUUAUCCGGAUCCAGGACCCUGUAUGGUGGGUAGUUUGACUGGGGCGGUAAGGGC